rnacentral:pre_miRNA from 1 species
AAUUUCAACUGAAACAGUUAUCAACAACAAAGUUGAAUAACUCAUCAAGAUCUAAAACUUUUAUUUUGAUCAUUUCUUCAUCCGAUAAAAUGAUACUAACAUUAUUCACAAAAUUGACGUAUCUCUUAUCUGUUUUAUAAAUAUAACACAUAGAUGUAAAAUUUGUGAAUAAUGUUACUAACACUUUAUCGGAUGAAGAAAUGACAAAAAUAAAAGUUUUAGAUCUUGAUGAGUUAUACAAUUUUGUUGUUGAUGACUUUUUCAAUUGAAAUC